rnacentral:rRNA from 1 species
CUAGUCACUCGUGAAUCAUCGAAUCUUUGAACGCAUCUUGCACUUUUUAGGUCUCCUAGAAAGUAUACUUGUUUGAGUAUCAUUAACACUAAUCUAAGCGCAAGCUUGGGAAUUGAGACGUUAAGCUACCUCUUUGCUCCUUGGAGUGCUUAGGAAGCCUAUGUCUUUUAAGUGAUAUGUAGUGUGUUGCUUGAUCUUUUCUAAAGGUCUUGCAAGCCUCCACAAUCAAAUGUGAGAUAAACAUCGCACAGAGUAGUUGAGAGGUUAAGCGCUACUACGCCUAGAAGUGGUUUUGCCACUUCAAACCCAAUUGAAUCAGUGAUCUCAAAUCAAGUAAGACUACCCGCUGAACUUAAGCAUAUCAAUAAGCGGAGG